rnacentral:rRNA from 1 species
GAUGAACGCUGGCGGCGUGCUUAACACAUGCAAGUCGAACGAGAAGUGAAGACGGAAACCUUCGGGCGGAAGGCUUUAUUUCGAGUGGCGGACGGGUGAGUAACGCGUGGGUAACCUGCCUCAUACAGGGGGAUAACAGUUGGAAACGACUGUUAAUACCGCAUAAGACCACAGCACCGCAUGGUGCGGGGGUAAAAACUCCGGUGGUAUGAGAUGGACCCGCGUUCGAUUAGCCAGUUGGCGGGGUAACGGCCCACCAAGGCGACGAUCGAUAGCCGAUCUGAGAGAAUGACCGGCCACAUUGGGACUGAGACACGGCCCAAACUCCUACGGGAGGCAGCAGUGGGGAAUAUUGCACAAUGGGGGAAACCCUGAUGCAGCGACGCCGCGUGAGUGAAGAAGUAUUUCGGUAUGUAAAGCUCUAUCAGCAGGGAAGAAAAUGACGGUACCUGAGUAAGAAGCCCCGGCUAACUACGUG